AGCGAACGCUGGCGGCAGGCUUAACACAUGCAAGUCGAACGCCCCGCAAGGGGAGUGGCAGACGGGGGAGUAACACGUGGGAACGUACCCUUUGGUUCGGAAUAACUUGGGGAAACUCAAGCUAAUACCGGAUAAGCCCUUAUGGGGGAAGGUUUACUGCCGAAGGAUCGGCCCGCGUCUGAUUAGCUAGUUGGUGAGGUAAUGGCCCACCAAGGCGACGAUCAGUAGCUGGUCUGAGAGGAUGAUCAGCCACACUGGGACUGAGACACGGCCCAGACUCCUACGGGAGGCAGCAGUGGGGAAUAUUGGACAAUGGGGGCAACCCUGAUCCAGCCAUGCCGCGUGAGUGAUGAAGGCCUUAGGGUUGUAAAGCUCUUUUACCCGGGACGAUAAUGACUGUACCGAGAGAAUAAGCCCCGGCUAACUUCGUGCCAGCAGCCGCAGUAA
rnacentral:rRNA from 1 species